GAUGAACGCUGGCGGCGUGCCUAACACAUGCAAGUCGAGCGAAGCGAUCUGAUGGAAGUUUUCGGAUGGAAGUCAGAUUGACUGAGCGGGCGACGGGUGAGGUAACGCGUGGGUAACCUGCCUCAUACAGGGGGAUAACAGUUAGAAAUGGCUGCUAAUACCGCAUAAGCACACAGGACCGCAUGGUCCGGUGUGAAAAACUCCGGUGGUAUGAGAUGGACCCGCGUCUGAUUAGCUAGUUGGUAAGGUAACGGCUUACCAAGGCGACGAUCGGUAGCCGACCUGAGAGGGUGAUCGGCCACAUUGGAACUGAGAAACGGUCCAG
rnacentral:rRNA from 1 species